AUUGAACGCUGGCGGCAUGCCUUACACAUGCAAGUCGAACGGUAACAGGUCUUCGGAUGCUGACGAGUGGCGAACGGGUGAGUAAUACAUCGGAACGUGCCUAGUAGUGGGGGAUAACUACUCGAAAGAGUGGCUAAUACCGCAUGAGAUCUACGGAUGAAAGCAGGGGAUCGCAAGACCUUGUGCUACUAGAGCGGCCGAUGGCAGAUUAGGUAGUUGGUGGGAUAAAAGCUUACCAAGCCGACGAUCUGUAGCUGGUCUGAGAGGACGAUCAGCCACACUGGGACUGAGACACGGCCCAGACUCCUACGGGAGGCAGCAGUGGGGAAUGUUGGACAAUGGGCGCAAGCCUGAUCCAGCAAUGCCGCGUGCAGGAUGAAGGCCUUCGGGUUGUAAACUGCUUUUGUACGGAACGAAAAGCCCUGGGUUAAUACCCUGGGGUCAUGACGGUACCGUAAGAAUAAGCACCGGCUAACUACGUG
rnacentral:rRNA from 1 species